UUCGCAAUGCCCGAAAGGGUGACGAAGUGACGCCGCGUGUGGGAAGAAGGCCUUCGGGUUGUAAACCACUGUUGGGAGUUAGGAAGUGCAAGGAUGUUAAUAGCAUUCUUGCUUGACUAAGGCUCCGGAGGAAGCCACGGCUAACUCUGUGCCAGCAGCCGCGGUAAUACAGAGGCGGCAAGCGUUGUUCGGAAUUAUUGGGCGUAAAGAGCACGUGGGCGGCUCAGCAAGUCAGCUGUGAAAGCCUUCUGCUUAACGGAAGAACGGCAGUUGAAACUACAGGGCUUGAGUGCGGGAGGGGAGAGUGGAACUUCUGGUGGAGCGGUGAAAUGCGUAGAUAUCAGAAGGAACGCCGGCGGCGAAAGCGGCUCUCUGGUCCGUAACUGACGCUGAGUGUGCGAAAGCUAGGGGAGCAAACGGGAUUAGAUACCCCGGUAGUCCUAGCCGUAAACGAUGGGCACUAAGUAGAGGGGUUUU
rnacentral:rRNA from 1 species